ACGUGAAGCCUCCCCAAAAACAAAUUCUUUUUUAUUUUUAAAGUAGUCUUCUUCUUCUUUAUUUCCAAAACACUUUCUCUGGGAAAAACCAGUUUCUUCUUUCUUCUUCGUUCCGUAACCCGGCGGAUAAUCCGAACAGCAGAGAUUAUUUUUCUUGGAGGAUAUCGAUGCGGUUGGUGUUGUAUAUUAUCACGAGAGGACGAGACCACGGAUGAACGACGAGACCACGGGGGAAGAACACGACCACACUGCUGAGUAUUAUGAGUCGAUGAGAUUCUGCGGUGAGUCCACGGUGGAAGGCUAGGGCGUGAAGGGUUUAUUUUUCAAGCCGAAAGUUGCGAGUUCGAAUUCAGAUUUGCAGUAAUCUAAGAGCAACUUUGAAACAAACUUGAUGGUGCAGGCCGAAACUGAAAUCGAUGUCCUCGCCAUUGCUACUACCGUCUUCAAAGUCACUACCCAUAUCAAUGACAUCUUGGCCAGAUUGGUUAGUACGAAUGAGCCAUGGAUUUUGAUAAUUGUUGGGUUGUGCAUUUUCUCUUCGACGUCGCCACACGUACUGGAUUAGAAGAGGUGGAUUUUGUGGUGGUGCACUCCCAUUAUUAUUAUUUAUGAUCACUUGGUCUUGUUGCCUUGGGGGUAUGAUGAUAGAUGAAUGAGAAUGACCAGCAACCUGGAGGUUGGGAUUAAACAAAAAUGGUGGUGUCUGGCUUUGAGUCAAACCUGGCGCAGGGUUGUUUGGGUUUGAUGUUCCAGCAGUAACAGAGGGUAGUUGGGUGAGGUUUGCUGGAGGAGGAAGAGGAAAGCGUUGAGAUGAUGACGUUGACUGUCGAUUAGGGUCCUCUGUGGCCAUUUGAGAUGAUUUCAUGAUUCCAUGUGGUCAUUUGAGUAGCCAGGAAGUCGUGAUCAUAUAACCAUACAUGGGUAAUUAAGGGAAAAGGCUGGAAGCAAGUUUGAGAAAUGAAAGGAAAAGAAGCAGCAAUAUUACAACAGAUUUGUAGCAGCACUCCAUUAUUACUACUUGGGGAGUUGGUGAGGCUAGCUGAGGCCUGAAAUUGAGAGACUGUUUGAUGAGGUAAAAACUAUAGAGAUUGUAUGAGAUCAAAUUCCACAGGAUGUAAAGGCUGAGGCUGAGGCUCAGGCUGGGGAUCCGCUUUUGAGAAAGAUGUAUGAGAUGAGAUUAUGCAGGAAAUUAUAGGAUCUAUUUAUAAUGAGGUACUAGGGGGUCAUUUAUUGUUGCACAAUCUGGUGCACAUUGCCCCAAGAGGAAAAUUUAUGGCAAUUUAUUCAAUUCGGAUUCGAUCGA